UGGGGAAUAUUGGACAAUGGGCGAAGGCCUGAUCCAGCCAUGCCGCGUGUGUGAAGAAGGUCUUCGGAUUGUAAAGCACUUUAAGUUGGGAGGAAGGGCAGUAAGCGAAUACCUUGCUGUUUUGACGUUACCGACAGAAUAAGCACCGGCUAACUCUGUGCCAGCAGCCGCGGUAAUACAGAGGGUGCAAGCGUUAAUCGGAAUUACUGGGCGUAAAGCGCGCGUAGGUGGUUCGUUAAGUUGAAUGUGAAAGCCCCGGGCUCAACCUGGGAACUGCAUCAAAAACUGGCGAGCUAGAGUAGGGCAGAGGGUGGUGGAAUUUCCUGUGUAGCGGUGAAAUGCGUAGAUAUAGGAAGUAACACCAGUGGCGAAGGCGACCACCUGGGCUCAUACUGACACUGAGGUGCGAAAGCGUGGGGAGCAAACAGG
rnacentral:rRNA from 1 species